UGAAACAUUUUAUUAUUUUAAAGCUAAGUAUAAAAGUAAGAGGUUGGGUUACAGUGACAAUCUACAGGUUAUCAUUUUGAACUUCAACGAUCAUGAAAGUCCAGAUUUUUGCCACCUUCCUCGUGUGUUCAAGUCUCACAUCCGCAGUGUUUGCACAAUCAUACAGCGGCGCCCAAUCAACGCAAUGUUCUACUGGAUGCGCAUAUUGUAAACACGAUGACUGUUUACAGUGUCAAUAUGGAUUUUGUUUACAGCAAGCUAUUGUCAACAAUAAACUGGUUAAUGUAUGUACACAAAGCUGUGGACAGGGGAGGUACUGUAAUGAUGGUACAUGCCAGGAUUGUGAAGCUGGCUGCGCAUUCUGUGAUAAAGCUGGUUGUGCCGUUUGUGGAACAGGGUUGUGUUUGAAAGAAACAAGUGCUUAUGGAUUUAGUCAGCCAAAGUGUGUUCUAGAUUGUGAUAAAGGUUCAUUCUGUUCAAAGGGAAGAUGUACAAGUUGUGCUUAUGGCUGUUCUAAAUGUAGCAACAAAUUUCAAUGCAAUAAAUGUGAACAUGAUUAUUGUCUGAAAGAAGAAGACCACAAUGGAGUCAAAGUAACAAGUUGUGUACAAGAUUGUGGAAACAAGCAAUACUGUAAUGCGCAUGAUGGUGUAUGCCAGAAUUGUCCAGUAGGCUGUAAACAUUGUACCAGUUCCUAUGCUUGUCAUCAAUGUCAUUAUGGUUACUGCAAGAAAACAUUCUAUAAUAAUGGCUACCUUAACUCUGUGUGUACAAAAGAAUGUGGAUCUGGUUACUACUGUCAUUACGGUGCUUGUAACGAAUGCACCAUUCCCUAUUGUGUUAAGUGCAAAAACGCCUACGAAUGCAGUCAAUGUGCUUACGGAUAUAGCCUUGAUUACCACAGCGGAACUUGUGUUUCUAAACCAAAUAACCAAGCCCAUUAAACCUUAUUCCAUUCAUUUUGUAUAAUAACAAUCAGUUACUAACAAAGAUAUUACAUGUUGA